rnacentral:misc_RNA from 1 species
CACACACACACACACACACACAAGGCACACUCACGCCUAGAGCAGUCUCCUUGCCUUAUUCACACGUACUCACUUGAAUACUCAAACACACACAAGUGUUUCCCUUUAACUCACCAUCAUUCUUGCACAGUUGCACUUGUGCUCGCCGCACUUUCAUUUGUACACUUAACACGCAAAGGCUGCAUAUGUCGGUUUAACACGUGACCUCUCUUAUGGCGGUGGCAUGUAAAAUUCUAGAAAGAAAUUUCUGGAGAGGUAGAGUCGGUAAACUUUUACUUGUUGGCUAAGUAUUUGUAGAGAGGAUUCUGAAUUAAUGGGGAGAAAGAGAGACGUCAGUGAUAAAUUUCUUCAAUAAAAACUACAAACUUAAGCUGUGUGAAAUCUUUAAGAAUGAGUUCUACAAUACCAUUCUCUACCGAGCUCUAUGAUAUCACUAGAAGAAUCAGGAAAAAUACGAGUUCCUAUGCCAAACUCCAAAACUUAAGAAGUAAGCCAAACUGCACAAAACUACCUGCGGUUUGCGAAGCAAAAUAAAGAACACUACAUCUCUGCAUGAAUUACAGCAAGUAUUGUCCAAAUUUUGCGCAAACCCUCCCAAGCAAGAGUUAACAUACUGAGGCAACCCUCCAGGUCCCUCUAUAAAUAACAAUCCUAAUUAGGAAAGCUAUCUGCACUAAUUUUUAUCUACUCUAUAGGAGGUGGGUCUCAAAGCAACAACCUAAGCUACCUCUUCAGUUUGCAGGAAAUUAACUCUAAUGUUACAAAUGAGCCUUGGCCAUAGAAUAGAAGUUGUGAAAUCCAAAAUGCUCUCCAAAGUUCAUCACCUUUUCUUUUUGUUAAUACCUAUAAACUCACAUCCCUACACACAACUGGACUAACAUUGAGGCAAAGCACAUUGGGAUCAUAACCCAUUAAUGAAAUUAUCCUUAGCGAAACAUGCUCUAGAGCUUGUCUAUUAUUAUUAUUGGAACAACAAAUUUUGGAUUUCUGUGAUCUGAAGGUCAGAAAAUUGACCACUAUCAAUACUAGUACACAUAUACGAAUUGCACAUACAAUGAUCAGAAAUUAGGAACU